GCAUUCUAUGUUUACCGGAGUUACCUCGGUUUUAUUUGCCAUAACAAGAUGGUCAGUGCACCAGAACAGCAUGUCCAUUUUUGGGGCAUGAGGUAAUCCUAGAGAAAAAGAGAUGGUUGUGAGGUGACGAAUUGCUUCAGAGACGUGGAUUGAGCAACUACUAGAUUCAAUUGAGUAGGAACUGAUGUGUCUAGCCAUUGUUA
rnacentral:misc_RNA from 1 species